CCUACGGGAGGCAGCAGUAGGGAAUCUUCCGCAAUGGACGAAAGUCUGACGGAGCAACGCCGCGUGAGCGAAGAAGGUCUUCGGAUUGUAAAGCUCUGUUGUUAGGGAAGAACAAGUACCGCAGUAACUGGCGGUACCUUGACGGUACCUAACGAGAAAGCCACGGCUAACUACGUGCCAGCAGCCGCGGUAAUACGUAGGUGGCAAGCGUUGUCCGGAAUUAUUGGGCGUAAAGCGCGCGCAGGCGGUCCUUUAAGUCUGAUGUGAAAGCCCACGGCUCAACCGUGGAGGGUCAUUGGAAACUGGGGGACUUGAGUGCAGAAGAGGAGAGCGGAAUUCCACGUGUAGCGGUGAAAUGCGUAGAGAUGUGGAGGAACACCAGUGGCGAAGGCGGCUCUCUGGUCUGUAACUGACGCUGAGGCGCGAAAGCGUGGGGAGCAAACAGGAUUAGAUACCCGGGUAGU
rnacentral:rRNA from 1 species